CCUACGGGCGGCAGCAGUGAGGAAUAUUGGUCAAUGGCCGGAAGGCUGAACCAGCCAUGCCGCGUGAAGGUCAGUGCCCUAUGGGCGUUAAACCUCUUUUGUGCGGGAGCAAUAAUGGUCACGUGUGGCCAGACGAGAGUUCCGUACGAAUAAGCAUCGGCUAACUCCGUGCCAGCAGCCGCGGUAAUUCGGGGGUUGCAAGCGUUAUCCGGGUUUUUUGGGUUUAAAGGGGACGUAAGCUGGGCGGUAAGUCAGGGGUGAAAUGCCCGCGGUCAACGGGGUGAAGUGCCAUUGAUACUGCCUGGCUGGAAUGCAGAUGACGUGGGAGGAAUGUGUGGUGUAGCGGUGAAAUGCAUAGAUAUCACACAGAACACCGAUUGCGAAGGCAGCUCACGAAUCCGCGAUUGACGCUGAUGCACGAAAGCGUGGGUAUCAAACAGGAUUAGAUACCCUUGUAGUC
rnacentral:rRNA from 1 species